AUACGGAGGGUGCAAGCGUUAUCCGGAAUCACUGGGCGUAAAGCGCGCGCAGGCGGUCUUUUAAGUUGGAUGUGAAAGCCUACGGCUCAACCGUAGAACUGCAUCCAAAACUAUUAGACUAGAGUGUGGGAGAGGAAGAUGGAAUUAGUUGUGUAGGGGUAAAAUCCGUAGAGAUAACUAGGAAUACCAAAAGCGAAGGCAAUCUUCUGGAACACUACUGACGCUGAGGCGCGAAAGCGUGGGGAGCAAACAGGAUUAGAAACCCUAGUAGUCC
rnacentral:rRNA from 1 species